rnacentral:rRNA from 1 species
CACAUGACUCUCGGCAACGGAUAUCUCGGCUCUUGCAUCGAUGAAGAACGUAGCAAAAUGCGAUACCUGGUGUGAAUUGCAGAAUCCCGUGAACCAUCAAGUUUUUGAACGCAAGUUGCGCCUAAGGCCUUUUGGCCAAGGGCACGUCUGCCUGGGCGUCACG